UUUAAAUAUACUGGUAUUAUUUUGCCCUUUCUUUGGAUUUAUUAUUGAUUUCCUGUAUCUUUACAGAAGGUUUGUCCAUCAUGGACUUUCGGGCUAAGGAAGCUUCUUGGUUGGAGCAGGCUAAUCUUUUAUUCUCUGGGACAGCGAUAGCCAGUAAUGAUCCGGAUCAGUGCAAUAUUAGAGAACUGAAACAAUCUCUAAGGAAUCUAUCACACCGACAGAUGAAGACCUGGUGGAACCGGGCCUCUUUGGAGAACUACCUACAUAAACAUCUAAUACCUCGAGGACUACGAGUACAGAUUUUUCCCUCUUUUGGCCUUGACCAAGAAGUCUAUGUUAAGAAGUGGGAAGAGGCAUGCAAUACUUGUUCCAGGACACUCAUGAUGAUCAUCAUGGAACAUAAUACACAGGUACUCAUGGAGCUAGGUAUACAAAUUGAGAAGACAGAGACAGAUAUUGCUGCCAUCCUGCCAAAUAAUGACUACCCAUCAUUCAAGCAAGACUUGGAGGAAUCCCAAACCAUCUGGGAAAAACAAAUUAAGGCUACAAAAUCAAAAAAAUUCUUAAGAGACUCUAAUGACUUCUCUAAUAACAAGGUGUAUAAGUGGAAACGGGGUCCAGUGGAGAGACGACAAAGAUCACCUUCAGUCUCAUCAUCCGUUUCCACAGGAGUGGAAUCUGUGGCGUCAUCCAGGUCCUCUGCGAGAAAUGCACAAUAUGAUGGGAGACGACGCAACUACCGCAACAAAGCAAACACAAGAAAUGAAAGGCAGGAGAGAGUCAACACCAGGAGCAACGAUACUAACCGUAAGCGGUAAAAGAUCUGCAAUUAUUCGCACGGAAAUUAAUCUUUAAGAAACUGUUUCAUCCCUCCCCUAUACAAGCACCUUUAUCUUCAGCUCAGGCACCAGCAUCUCCCAAUACGAUCGCAGAAACUGAGGCACUACAAGCUCUUCAAGAUCUCCUAGAAGAACAGGAUACAUCAAAUACGGGAUACCACAGAUAUCCUAAAAAGAAUGGACGAUGUUCAAUUGGACAACGAAACCCUUCUGGUCACCUGUGAUGUGGAAGCUCUGUAUACAUCAAUCAGACACACGGAUGGAUUGGCGGCAACCCAAUUUUACCUUAUGAUGUCGGAUUUAGAUCCAGAACUGAGUGAGUUCAUUUUACAACUUCUUCAGUUCGCAUUAAUGCAUAACUUCUUUUUGUUCAGGGAUGUGGUCUUCCUACAGCUCCAGGGAACGGCGAUGGGGGCGGCCUGUGCGCCCUCAUACGCCAACCUUUUCCUGGGGCUGUGGGAGAGGACCAUAUUCAUGACUGAACCCGCCCCCCAUAUUGAAAAAGUUCUACAGUGGGGCCGCUAUAUAGAUGACAUUCUCUUUGUCUGGCAGGGCACGGCAGAAGAGUUGUCCACAUUUAUGACAUAUCUGAACACUAAUGAACUAAACAUAAAAUUGACCUAUAAAUGGGGGAGGUCGAAAAUGGAGUUCCUGGAUGUAUUGUUUGAUGUUGACCAAGAUGGGUAUAUCUCAACAGAUGUGUAUCGCAAAAAAACCUCUACCAAUACUCUUCUUCACGCUUCCUCUUCUCACCCCCAUGCACUUGUCUCCAAUAUCCCGACAGGUCAGUUCCUGCGAAUCCGACGGAUUUGUUCCACGGAUGAACACUUUGAAAAACAGGCUAAUGAUCUAUCUCUACGCUUUCAGGAACGGGGAUAUCAUGAAAGGGAUAUCACCAGAGGCUAUGCACGAGCUAAGGAUACACUACGAGGCAAUCUGCUUACCCAGUCCAAAAAGAAAAAGGGAAAUGACCAGGAGUGAUCUACUACGCCACCUGUCCUUGUAACAUGAUUUAUGUUGGACUUACCUGCAGGGAAUUCCGUCGGAGAAUACGGGAACAUGUCCUAGGAAUUGAAGCAGCCAAGGAGGAAAUAGAUCUACAGAAGCUAAAAACCAUACCCCGCCACUUUCGUCAGUACCAUGAUUGCAACAGUACCCUCUUCAAGGGUUUCAAAAUUGGUCUCGUAUCCAAAAGAGUCUGGAAAUUUGAAGAGAGCAUUGAUGACCAUCAGCAGCAAAGCACUUGUCACUUUAUUGAGUAGAGCCACCAGUAAUCGGGUAUUAUAGGAAUUAUUGCUAUACAUAGUAUUGUUGAAUAAAAUUAUUGAUAUAUAUUCCUCUGUCUUUGGAGGUGUUGAUUAACAGUUGUUUUGUCUGAUACACUUCGACAUAUAUACAUACAGCCACUAAUUAUCUAAUUCUUAUACAUAAUAAAUGUUUAUAUUGUUCAUUCACCUCUAGUACACGAUAGGCUAUGGGGUACAUCACUUUUCCCAUUCAACAUCACUAACACCCAAGUCCGCACAUAUACUAUUUGUAUCUACUUUAUAAACUACUUUUAUAUACGUCAAGCAUUCACUAUACACUUUAAUAAAUCACAUAUCUUCACUUAUACACACUUAUCACUUUAACCCCCCUUAUUUCGCUUUUUUUAGCGAAGAAUUCAGUCAGCAACACUACAACAUUAGGUUCAUUAUUUUGUAUGUGUCACCUUUUUUGCACUGUUUUUUUCACUUUUUCUCUCAUUUUCCUCUGCAUGUCUCACUUUUAUUCACUUGCACUUUUGUGGCACUUUUCACUAUUCUAUUAUAAUUAAUGAAAAACAUGAAAAGUAUAUAUAUUAUUUUCAAAAAAUAUUUUUUUCCCUGCAAUGGGGAUUGAACCCCCUACGGGGUUGGUGUGUGUACAUGCCUGACCGCUGCACUGCCUCCACUCUAUGAGCGGCCUUGAUAUAUCUUGUAAUCUGACACAUGCAUACAUACACGGUGCGCUCCCUUCCGAGCUUUGUCCUCUGUAUUUUCUUAUUCUCUUUUUCUCUAUUUUUUUGUUUUUAAUGGCGCCUCUCUUCUCCAUCUUCCACUACCUGAUUAUUUCAGGCACGAUAUGCUUUUAUAUCCGCGCGUGUCUUUUUCGGAUCCUAAUACCUUUAUUCUUGGUGCGCACCGCGCGUGCGCGGGUUAUUCCCUCUGUCUCGCGGGAUGACGAUGGUGGACGCACCUUGUCAUCGCGCACGCGCGAUGCGCACCAAGAUGGCGCCAGAUAUCGGGACCAUGUCACCGAUCCAGGUGAACUAUAUUGUAAUUAUUUACCUAUAGAUCCCUAUUGGUUGGUAUGUUGUAUAUAUACCCCCACAAACUAGACUAGGUCAUACUCCCUGAGGAAGCCAAACGGCGAAACGACGUUGGGGUACUGGUGUUGUGUAGGUAGGUACACUGUCUAUGUCUUCCAGCCUGUGCUCUGUGAGUGGGGAAGUUCUCUGGGUAUGCUUAUCCACUGUGCUUUAACUGCACAUCUUUACUUUCCUUUCCCCUUUCUCCUGACCACUCGCUGGAGGCUAUAUAUGCAGUGACCUUCUUUUCUAGGUUAG